UGUGCUUGUUUCCAGCUCUGACUCCCAGCUGGAUUGUGGACUUGUGCUACUGAUAACUUGACUCUUGGCUGGAUCUUGGAGCUGUGUUAGAGCCCUGUCUCUAGACAAGCUUCUGCUGUUCCUGGCAUGGUCCAUCCCUUCUGCUGGUCUGUGACCGUUGUUGAACCAUGUUGCAGCCCUUGGCUCUGUCUGCCAUGUCCAGACCUGUGAGAUAGUGCCAUGGGUGAGGGCCCUCAGCUCCUGGGUUCCUAUCCGAAAGAAAGAAGCUGGACAUUGCUGUGUCCUGCAAAGACAAAGUUGGUGAAGGACCCUGAGGGCAAGCUGUGAAGUGCUGCAGUUCUGCGUAACUAGCUUAUAUUGCUGAAACCUGGCACAGAAUGUGAUUUACAGCCACAGCAAGAGCUUGCUUUGGUCUUUGCUACAAGCUUAAAGCACAUCUAGCUCUGCUUUCUUAACUUGGUACACAGCCCAGCAUGGGUGGGACUGAAGAUCAUAGGCUUGUAAGACAAAUGCAUUUAUUUCCUGAUACCUUGUUCCAGGCUCUGGGAGUUAAUGUUGUCUCUUUGGAGAGCCAUCACCUCUAAGAUUCUCUCCUUCCCUUGAAUGCAGAGAGAUGGAGCUCUCAUAAAGGAUUUGGCUGGAGGAACAAGGAAAAAGUACUGUGGCACCUGAUCCUGGUUUUCAGGAAAACAUCACUGAGCUAAAAAAAAAGACCCAAUUCAGGUUUGUAUUAUGGACAGACCAAAUAACACACAAACUGCAAAACUGAGACCUCUUCUGCUGUUUACCUGGCUCUUUUUGGGUGGGCAGAAUUAGCUGUGUAUUUUGUUCACUAAAAUCUGAAACAUACUGUAAUACAUGAAAAAAAUAAAUUUAAGUACUUGAAGAAAAUUACUGUACUUGAAAAGGGAACAUUGAGCACAUAUCUGAGGCUACGGAGCCUGCCUAUAUAGAGGUUUGCUGAGACCUUUGCAGGUCUAUAUAAAGCUGUAACACUUCCAACUGAAGGGGGACUGAGUGUGCCAGAUCAGUAAUGAAUGACUGGUGCUCUGCUGUCUUCUGAUUCCCCCAGCCUCUUCUGGUAUCUGAAAUGUCAAUAUUUUCUGGAAUGUCCUUUUGAAGCAUGUUUCUUCCUCAGUGCUGCAGUGCCCUCCAGUGCAUGGAGAACAAGCUUUAGCUUCUGUUACCAGGAAUCCAAAAUACAGACACCAUUUUAUAUCUGAUGUUAAGACUGAACUCUUAAUGAUAUUUCAGAUUACUUUUUACCUGGUUUCCAAAGUGUAAAGGCAGUUCAAUGGCAGCUAUGCCUAGCUACCUCAACCCAAUGCCCUUGGUCAGUGUGAUCAAGCCAGAGCAACUACCCUCAGAAAGCCAUCUCCUGAUUAGAAACCUCUCCCAGAAGCUGCAGGACACUAGUCAAGGGUCUCUGAAUCUGCCUGCACCACAGACACAAAACAAGUCUGUGGCUCUCUGCCUGUUGAAUGAAUCUGGCUGUCUCCAAAACCUGGGGCAUAUGUCUGCUGCAGAGCUGUGACAUGUCCCCCCCAAUUUCUCUACCACCUCAGCCUGCUGAAGAUUUUCUUCUAUGGGGCAUCUCUUCUGAUGCUCAAAAGCUCAAAAUACUUUCCACAACAAACAAGCUACUUGAGGUGAAUGAUUGUCAACUCGGUCAUAUCCCAAGAGUGUUUAAAAUGCUCGCCUAACUAAAGUAGUAGCAGUGGCAUGUGGGCUGUAGUUCAAGGAUUGUGUUCAGACUAGUAAAGUUUUACUAAACAGUGAGGUGGCAGGUUAUUUUAAUGAAAAACCUAGGUAAGGAUGAGUGAGAAAGUCAUAGAGCAAGUCUGAGGUUUUUUUACAGUUACACUUUUGCUGUUGUAUAUCUCUAGUACAGUUUAUUAAAUUCCACCUAAAACAUUGACAGUGCUUCCCUAAAUACAAGUGAGGGAAUCUGUAAGUGCAAAGCAGCUCAAAACAAAUACCUGGUUAGAUUCCAAAAGCUGAGGGUGGGAUUUUCAACAGACUAAAUGAAUUCAGUUUCAAACUUCUGUCAAAUUACAGUGAGAGAUGCUCACAAAAAAAAAAAGAGUAUAUUCUGGUAAACUGUGUUGAAUGUGGAGAAUCCU